rnacentral:rRNA from 1 species
GUUGGGUAGGGGAGCGUUCUGUAAGCCUGCGAAGGUGUGCUGUGAGGCAUGCUGGAGGUAUCAGAAGUGCGAAUGCUGACAAAAGUAACGAUAAAGCGGGUGAAAAGCCCGCUCGCCGGAAGACCAAGGGUUCCUGUCCAACGUUAAUCGGGGCAGGGUGAGUCGACCCCUAAGGCGAGGCCGAAAGGCGUAGGCGAUGGGAAACAGGUUAAUAUUCCUGUACUUGGUGUUACUGCGAAGGGGGGACGGAGAAGGCUAUGUUAGCCGGGCGACGGUUGUCCCGGUUUAAGCAUGUAGGCUGAUUGUCCAGGCAAAUCC